rnacentral:rRNA from 1 species
AUCAACGCUGGCGGCGUGCCUCAGACAUGCAAGUCGAACGAGAAAGUUCCCUUCGGGGAAUGAGUAAAGUGGCGCACGGGUGAGUAACACGUAGGUAAUCUACCUUCGGGUGGGGAAUAACGCAGGGAAACUUGCGCUAACACCGCAUAAUGCAGCGGCACCACAUGGUGACAGUUGUUAAAGCGGGGGAUUUUCGGACCUCGCGCCUGAAGAGGAGCCUGCGGCAGAUCAGCUAGUUGGUAGGGUAACGGCUUACCAAGGCAACGAUCUGUAGCCGGCCUGAGAGGGCGGUCGGCCACACUGACACUGACAUACGGGUCAGACUCCUACGGGAGGCAGCAGUCGGGAAUUUUGGGCAAUGGGCGAAAGCCUGACCCAGCAACGCCGCGUGAAGGAUGAAAUCCCUCGGGAUGUAAACUUCGCAAGAAUGGGAAGAAUGAGCGAACGCUAACACCGUUCGUGAUGACGGUACCAUUUGUAAGCUCCGGCUAACUCCGUGCCAGCAGCCGCGGUAAUACGGGGGGAGCAAGCGUUGUUCGGAUUUACUGGGCGUAAAGGGCGCGUAGGCGGCCACUGCAAGUCAGUUGUGAAAUCUCCGGGCUUAACUCGGAAAGGUCAAUUGAUACUGCAGGGCUAGAGUGCAGAAGGGGCAACUGGAAUUCUCGGUGUAGCGGUGAAAUGCGUAGAUAUCGAGAGGAACACCAUGCGGCGAAGGCGGAGUCUGCUGGGCUGUAAUCUGACGCUGCAUGCGCGAAAGCUAGGGGAGCGAACGGGAUUAGAUACCCCGGUAGUCCUAGGCCUUAAACGAUGGCAUGCUAGGUGUUGGAGUCUAUCGAUCCCUCCAGGUGCCGCAGCUAACGCGUUAAGCAUCCCCGCCUGGGGAGUACGGCCGCAAGAUUGAAACUCAAAGGAAUUGACGGGGGCCCGCACAAGCGGUGGAGCAUGUGGUUUAAUUCGACGCAACGCGAAGAACCUUACCCAGACUUGACAUGCACUGGACCGGCGUUGAAAGACGCCUUCCCUUCGGGGCCGGUGCACAGAUGCUGCAUGGCUGUCGUCAGCUCGUGUCGUGAGAUGUUGGGUUAAGUCCCGCAACGAGCGCAACCCUUGUCAUUAGUUGCCAUCAUUCAGUUGGGCACUCUAGUGAGACUGCCGGUGGUGAACCGGAGGAAGGUGGGGAUGACGUCAAGUCCUCAUGGCUCUUACGUCUGGGGCUACACACGUGCUACAAUGGCCGGUACAAAGGGUCGCAAUACCGCGAGGUGGAGCCAAUCCCAAAAAGCCGGCCUCAGUUCGGAUCGGAGUCUGCAACUCGACUCCGUGAAGUCGGAAUCGCUAGUAAUCGCUGAUCAGCAGGCAGCGGUGAAUACGUUCCCGGGCCUUGUACACACCGCCCGUCAAGCCACGAAAGUCGGCAGUACCCGAAGUCGGUGUGCUAACCCGCAAGGGGGGCAGCCGCCUAAGGUAAGGUCGGUGAUUGGGGCU